CCAGGGUUUUUCUUUAUUUUUACAAUUUUCUACAUUGUCGAAUAAUAAUAAUGAACACAUCAACACUAUGAAAUAACACAUGGAAUCAUGUAGUAACCAAAAAAGUGCACUGGACCUUUAGCUUCAGUCUCUUUUUGAGUGGCAAAAAAAAGAGUAAAGAAAUGUAUCCUGCCAAUAGAGGAUGUUGGAAAGUUAAGCCCGUAAGACCCAAAGACAGCUCACAUAAUAAAUUGGAACACUUAGGACACCAGGCUUGUUAAAACUUCAGCCUCUGUGCUAGAAUAUUACUAGUUCAGCUCUUCAGUGGUCCAAUAGUGAACUCAAAGAAAACGCUCACUGAAUAAAACAUUGUGUCUCCUAGUAACGAUUAUAGAGGUGACUGCUCAUGCAUCACUGGUCACAGUGAGAUUCUUCAUAUAGUGAUUCUUCUUCCUCCGUAGACAUUUGUUCACACACCUCACCAAGGUCCUUAUAACAGAAGGAACCGAGCCCCUUCACCAAGGUCCUUAUAACAGAAGGAACCGAGCCCCUUCACCAAGGUCCUUAUAACAGAAGGAACCGAGCCCCUUCACCAAGGUCCUUAUAACAGAAGGAACCGAGCCCCUACACCAAGGUCCUUAUAACAGAAGGAACCGAGCCCCUACACCAAGGUCCUUAUAACAGAAGGAACCGAGCCCCUACACCAAGGUCCUUAUAACAGAAGGAACCGAGCCCCUACACCAAGGUCCU
rnacentral:lncRNA from 1 species